UCUGCAGACUGAGCUCUCCUCUCUGUACUUGGUUGAACAGUUCAUUUCAAGACAAAUUAUCUACAGUUACCACUUCUUUCAGGCACCAAGUUCAAGAGCAGUGAAACCUUAGGUUCCCCUCCCAAGCCAUGGAAAAGAAAGCUUUCUGUCAGUACAGGUCAACAGAGAAGGUCCAUUCGCUAUUGUCCUGUCCAUUUUCUUCCCAGUACUUGAAUCAUUAAGGUUGGAGAUCUCUAAGAACAUCUAGGUCAGUUAUUGAUGUUUCCCCACCAUGCCCACUGAAAACCAUAUCCCUCAGUACCACAACCACAUACCUCCUGAACACUUCCAGGGACAGUGACUCAGCAGCCUCCUUCCUUGGGACAACUUGUUCUAAUGCAUUACCACUAUUUCUAAGAAAAUACUUUUCUUAAUAUCCAACCUGAACAUCCUCUGCUACAGCUUGAAGAUUUUACCUCUCAUCAUACUACUACUAUCUGGGAGAAGAGUCUGAAACUCACCUUACUAUGACCUCCUUUCAGGAAGUUAUACAGAGCAAUUUGCAUUUCUGUGUCAGGUUCCAUUUUGUUAGACUGCCCCUCUCCUGCUAUCCAUUGCAUGGUGACAAAACGUAAUGAAAAACUGGUGGGAAGGUUAAGCCUCUACUGACAUGUCAUCAGUGUCUGCCUCUGAAAUUGCAGGUAAACAUAAUAAAGAAUAAUUAUUUUCAGAGCACUCUUUGUAAUUAGCUAACUUCCUGGUCCUUCCUAUAAGCAUAGCCAAUGCACAAUGCUUUCCCUCCUACAGGAUGAUGCCAGUGAACUGGCUUUUGUUAUGCAGGCUGUCUGGAUGAGUGUGACAGUUAUGGCUUUUUACAGCUAUACUGGAUAUCUUUGAGAUAAAAUAUACAUAAACACACACUAUUUUACAAAGUCUUCUCUUGUCUAUAAAGUUCCUUGUCUGAAGAAUGGGCCAAAUAGCCUUAACUUGCCUAAACAAAGGCCAGACUAUCUCAAUUUCCUUUCCUUCAAAACUUCCUUUUGCCAAGACAAAUUUUUGCUUCACAUUAUGCACUUUCUUCAGGGCUUUAAAUAGUGUUGAGUCCACAAUUCUUGACAUCUUAACUGAACUAAAUUUAGGUUUUUGGUAUUGCUUUUGUUUUACCACAAAUAUUACCCAUAUGAAUGGCUUUGGAAAGCUGUUUGAAGUUUUUAAAUCUUGAAAGUGGUUGUGGCUGAGAUGAAUUUGUGAACAAAAGACAGGAGAAACAAUCAAUAGCACAUGAUGAGUUCAAUUUAUCAUGGUGCUACCUGCACAACAUAGUUGGGAUGCAAUUGCAUAUAUCAAGAAACAUAUCACAUUAUUUCUUUAGGCUUGUUUUCUCCCUAUGCAACAUUCACUAGAUUCUCUACCUUUUGCUGUUUCUCUGCUCAUAAUUGAGGUUAUUAUUAAUAAUUGAUUUUCCCUCCCUUAAGCAUGUAUCUGCCAGGCUUGAGGGCCAAAGCAUUCAAUAAACCAGUCCUCCAAAAAUUAAAGAACCUUUUGUCAUUUAUUAUCUUAUUUGAAUCUUCAUUGCACAUAAUUCUAAACUUCACUGAACAUCCCUCACCUUAGAAAACUUCAAAAUCUCUGACAUUACAAAAAAAAUAUUUUCAUAAAAAGGAAAAAGUGAAUGGCAUAGUGCCUUCAGUGAUUCCUUGCUAAGUUGUUAUUAUUACUUUUGAUAUAGAUAUCACAUAUACAUAUUAUCAAGAGCACAGUUGUCUCUCAGUGAGCACUGAGAAGCAGAUUAGAAGUAGUGGGUAGUGCCAGUUUGAAAAGGAUAUACAGGGUCAAACCACCAUCCAGUAUGACCAGACAAGUAUCUCAUCCCAAACUUGCAUACUUAUUAUAUAAUACUAGGAAGGUUCUUUUGUGAUUUGAAUUUCUAAAAUUUUACAUGAAAAAUUAAAUUAUGUUCAAUUUAAAUUUUACUAAGAGCCCUCACUGUUACUGCUCAUCUUCUGUUCCAUGAACCAACUCUGAAAAAAAGAUAUUAUUAAAGACAGAAUGUGAUUCAAAUAUAUAAUACUGUUACUAUUUAAUUUCUUUCUGUGGAUUUUGCUUCUAU